rnacentral:rRNA from 1 species
GGCGAACGCUGGCGGCGUGCUUAACACAUGCAAGUCGAACGGAAAGGCCCUGCUUUUGUGGGGUGCUCGAGUGGCGAACGGGUGAGUAACACGUGAGUAACCUGCCCUUGACUUUGGGAUAACUUCAGGAAACUGGGGCUAAUACCGGAUAGGAGCUCCUGCUGCAUGGUGGGGGUUGGAAAGUUUCGGCGGUUGGGGAUGGACUCGCGGCUUAUCAGCUUGUUGGUGGGGUAGUGGCUUACCAAGGCUUUGACGGGUAGCCGGCCUGAGAGGGUGACCGGCCAAAUUGGAACGAGGAUACGGCCCAGACUCUUACGGGAGGAAGCGGUGGGGAAUAUUGCACAAUGGGCGGAGGCCUGAUGCAGCACCGCCGCGUGGGGGAUGACGGCCUUCGGGUUGUAACCGCUUUCGCCUGUGACGAAGCGUGAGUGACGGUAAUGGGUAAAGAAGCACCGGCUAACUACGUG